GACGAACGCUGGCGGCGUGCUCAACACAUGCAAGUCGAACGGUAAGGCCCUUCGGGGUACACGAGUGGCGAACGGGUGAGUAACACGUGGGUGAUCUGCCCUGCACUUCGGGAUAAGCCUGGGAAACUGGGUCUAAUACCGGAUAGGACCACUGCCUGCAUGGGUGGUGGUGGAAAGCUUUUGCGGUGUGGGAUGGGCCCGCGGCCUAUCAGCUUGUUGGUGGGGUGAUGGCCUACCAAGGCGACGACGGGUAGCCGGCCUGAGGGGGUGACCGGCCACACUGGGACUGAGAUACGGCCCAGACUCCUACGGGAGGCAGCAGUGGGGAAUAUUGCACAAUGGGCGCAAGCCUGAUGCAGCGACGCCGCGUGAGGGAUGACGGCCUUCGGGUUGUAAACCUCUUUUAGCACCGACGAAGCGCAAGUGACGGUAGGUGCAGAAGAAGGACCGGCCAACUACGUGCCAGCAGCCGCGGUAA
rnacentral:rRNA from 1 species